rnacentral:rRNA from 1 species
UACAGAGGUCUCAAGCGUUGUUCGGAUUCAUUGGGCGUAAAGGGUGCGUAGGUGGCGCCGUAAGUCAGGUGUGAAAUUUCGGAGCUUAACUCCGAAACUGCAUUCGAUACUGGCGUGCUCGAGGACUGGAGAGGAGACUGGAAUUCAUGGUGUAGCAGUGAAAUGCGUAGAGAUCAUGAGGAAGACCAGUGGCGAAGGCGGGUCUCUGGACAGUUCCUGACACUGAGACACGAAGGCCAGGGGAGCAAACGGG